rnacentral:rRNA from 1 species
GACGAACGCUGGCGGCGUGCUUAACACAUGCAAGUCGAACGGAAAGGCCCUGCUUUUGUGGGGUGCUCGAGAGGCGAACGGGUGAGUAACACGUGAGUAACCUGCCCUUGACUUUGGGAUAACUUCAGGAAACUGGGGCUAAUACCGGAUAUGAGCUCCUGCUGCAUGGUGGGGGUUGGAAAGUUUCGGCGGUUUGGGAUGGACUCGCGGCUUAUCAGCUUGUUUGUGGGGUAGUGGCUUACCAAGGCUUUGACGGGUAGCCGGCCUGAGAGGGUGACCGGCCACAUUAGGACUGAGAUACGGCCCAGACUCCUACGGGAGGCAGCAGUGGGAAAUAUUGCACAAUGGGCGGAAGCCUGAUGCAGCAACGCCGGGUGCGGGAUGACGGCCUUCGGGGUGUAAACCGCUUUCGCCUGUAACGAAGCGUGAGUGACGGUAAUUGGUAAAGAAGCACCGGCUAACUACGUG